rnacentral:rRNA from 1 species
AUUGUGGUGAAUCAUAGUAACUAAUCGGAUCGUAUGGGCUAGUCCCUCGACAAACCAUUCAAGUUUCUGCCCCAUCAGCUUUCGAUGGUAGUGUAUUGGACUACCAUGGCUUUCACGGGUAACGGAGGAUUAGGGUUCGAUUCCGGAGAGGGAGCCUGAGAAACGGCUACCACAUCUAAGGAAGGCAGCAGGCGCGUAAAUUACCCAAUUCUGACUCAGAGAGGUAGUG